rnacentral:tRNA from 1 species
GAGCCCGUAGCGCAGCGGCCGUCGCGCCUCCAUGGCAUGGAGGAGGACGCCGGUUCGAAUCCGGCCGGGCUCACGA